AUUGGGCCUAAGCAUCCGUAGCCGGUUCUGCAAGUCUUCCGUUAAAUCCACCUGCUUAACAGAUGGGCUGCGGAGGAUACUNCAGAGCUAGGAGGCGGGAGAGGCAAGCGGUACUCAGUGGGUAGGGGUAAAAUCCUUUGAUCCAUUGAAGACCACCAGUGGCGAAGGCGGCUUGCCAGAACGCGCUCGACGGUGAGGGAUGAAAGCUGGGGGAGCAAACCGGAUUAGAUACCCCCGUAGUCC
rnacentral:rRNA from 1 species